CCAUUAUCAACGCAAGGAUUUCGAAACCCUAAUCGAUAUCGAGGUCAAGAUCCAACCAACUCUGCUAAUCUCUGAGUCUUAAAUGAUGGAGCCUCCUACUACAACUGAGGCAGCUGAGGCUGCUAUAUUGGUCUAUUGGGACAUGAAGAUGUGUCCGCUUCCCGAUGGCUAUAAUGCUCGUCGUGUGGGUCAGAUUAUUGAACGGAAGUUGAGGCAGUUCGGCUACAAUGGUCCUAUCACCAUCACUGCCGUUGGCAUACUAGAUGGUGUCCCUGAACGCGCCCUUGAAGCGCUCCUUUCCUCGGGAAUCUCUCUUUAUAACGCCCCCUACGGUACCAAAGACGUGGCAAGGCUUGCCUUGUGGUCUCGUUACGAUUUUCCACCUCCAGGUAAUCUGAUGGUCAUAUCCCGUCCACCAGAGGCCGCUGUCAUUCUUGACUCUAAGUAGGAGAGGAUACAACACUAUUUCCCCCUUUCCACUCGCCUAUUCUCAUCCGGAAGAUGAUGCAAAGGACCUCUGGGAAAACUUUCUCCUGGCAGAUACAUCGCCACUUGACGAAAUUAAGUGCACUACAACAGGUCAAUCCUGGGUUUGCGGUGUUUGCGAUGAUGAUAUUCCUGGCAGAGGCUUUCAAGAUUUCAUCACGCAUCUCUCUACUCAAAAACAUAAACUGGAGUUUCCGCUCUGGCAUUCUUAUGAACCCGACGAGCUUGAUUUUAAAAAGCGCGCUAACGGCGCGCAAUGGCGCAUAGCGCACCGAGCCUCGAAGAAGAGGCCAACAAGACAUGGAGGCAAGGCGAGAUCUAUGAUGCGCGCGCCAUACAUGAGCCAUGGCCGAUGCACGAGGCGGUCAACGCGAGGGCCUCGUGUUCAGGCGAAAACUCUACGAAACCAGCGGGUUUUCACGAAGAAGAUCCUAGAAGGAAUAGGAUAAACCAUUUUACAAACCUAUCUGGUUGAUAAAUGGUUUAAAAUUUAAAGAAAUUUUCACGUUUAUGUUGAAAAAAACAUUUACUCUCACAGUUUGGCAAAGUGAGAUUUGGUUUUCACGUUUUGGCAGUUAAGGCUUUUUAGGACGAAAAUGCCCCUAACGAGUGAACCAAACGGCACAGUUUCUUUGCGGUUUAGUUACUUUUGAUUGGUUUUGCGGUUUGGUUUUGAAAAAAAAAAAAAA